UGGCAGAGGCCACUGCUAUCGGGGUUUGACUAAGCCAUGCGAGUCGAGAGGUGUAAGACCUCGGCGUACUGCUCAGUAACACGUGGACAAUCUGCCCUGAAGUGGAGGAUAAUCCCGGGAAACUGGGGGUAAUACUCCAUAGUUCGUGCUGACUGGAAUGUUAUGCGAACGAAAGAUCCGUCGCUUCAGGAUGAGUCUGCGGCCGAUUAGGUAGUUGUUGGGGUAACGGCCCAACAAGCCUGUCAUCGGUACGGGUUGUGGGAGCAAGAGCCCGGAGAUGGAUUCUGAGACACGAAUCCAGGCCCUACGGGGCGCAGCAGGCGCGAAAACUUUACCAUGCGGGCAACCGUGAUAAGGAAACCCCGAGUGCCAGCACAGGCUGGCUGUCCGCCAGUGUAAAUAACUGGUGAAGAAAGGGCCGGGCAAGACCGGUGCCAGCCGCCGCGGUAAUACCGGCGGCUCGAGUGGUGGCCACUAUUACUGGGCUUAAAGGGUCCGUAGCUUGAUAUGCAAGUCUCUUGAGAAAUCCGCCAGCUUAACUGGUGGGCGUUCAGGGGAAACUGCAUUUCUAGGGACCGGGAGAGGUGAGAGGUACUGCCGGGGUAGGAGUGAAAUCCUGUAAUCCCGGUGGGACCACUUAUGGCGAAGGCAUCUCACCAGAGCGGGUCCGACAGUGAGGGACGAAAGCUGGGGAGCAAACCGGAUUAGAUACCCGGGUAGUCCCAGCUGUAAACGAUGCGCGUUAGGUGUGUCAGUGACCACGUGUCACUGAGGUGCCGAAGGGAAACCGUGAAACGCGCCGCCUGGGGAGUACGGUCGCAAGGCUGAAACUUAA
rnacentral:rRNA from 1 species